rnacentral:rRNA from 1 species
CCUACGGGAGGCAGCAGUGAGGAAUAUUGGUCAAUGGGCGCGAGCCUGAACCAGCCAAGUAGCGUGAAGGAUGAAGGUCCUAUGGAUUGUAAACUUCUUUUAUAGUAGAAUAAAGUGAGCCACGUGUGGUUUUUUGUAUGUAUACUAUGAAUAAGGAUCGGCUAACUCCGUGCCAGCAGCCGCGGUAAU